AUGUUCAUCUCUUUUCUUUCCUCAUCACCCAGACUGAGUAUUAAUUUCACAGCUUUUCAUGCCGUAUGGAAGACACCUAGAACUACGUGGCCCCAAUCAGACAGGCAUCCCCAGAAAUACAGCAAGAGAGCAGGAACAUCAGCCAAGGAUAUAAGUGGCUCCCCCUACCUCAUGCACAAAGACUGCUGCACAGCAUUUUUGUUUGCCCACCUGUCUACCCUCUGCUUUGACCGGAUUAAGCCUUGGAAAGCUCUGUUUGACCACAAGCUGAUCUCAUCCAAGAUCUGGAAAACACCAGUGGAAGAGGUACAGACAUAAAGAAGACAAUCACCAAGAAAAAUGAAGUCAUUGUUAGCUGAUUUCAUACCUAUGCAGUCCGGCUUGGAAGCCCUGCCACCAACGACGUGUGCUACAUGAACAAAAUCUGGGAUUAAUUAAGUGAGAGUGAACUGCUAACCCAUUUGAACUGUCAUGCUGAAGGUCUGGCACAAAGGAUCCAGGAGUUUACAAAGACUAAUCACCAUCUCAGGGUCCUGUGGGCUACUCUUCACACAAGUGCCUCUGUAGUUAAAUGAGGCUUCAAAGUGACUGUUGCACACUGAGAACAACAAAGACAGCGACAAGGAGAUGUUCAUUGGACAUUGAUUUGCUUUUGUUCAAAGACAAUGCUUUGCUCUCUUUAUAAAAGAAAAAAUGAUCUUAGCUUUAAUGUCAUCUGUCUAAUCACAGCUUCACAGCCACUGACAUCCAGUGAGAAUAUAAACUAUACAGGACAGAUUGUUGACUCCCUGUUUAGGAAAGCUAACCAUUCCUAUUUAAAAGUCUCAUUUAUAAUUGUAGUAGACUCCACAAGAUAUUAAUAUCUGGGGUUAUUUUUUCCAUGCAGCAUGUCUGCUGCUAUCUGCUUAUUAUAAUGUCAGAUUUUAGAAAGUUUCUCACCUGGAGAUCUCAGCGGUAAAACAAGCUCAAUAUAAUGACUAAAAGGAAAUUUCCUGUAAUUUCAUAGUUUGAGCAGUUGCAGCGUGGACUCGGGCAUAGACACUGAACCAUGAAGCAGGGUUCAUGCUGCAAGGUAUACUUAAGAUUACGGGGUCUUUGGAUGGUCUACAGUUGCUAUCAGUUUUCUGGGGACUCGUUUUGGGCUGUGAACUAAUAAUUCCAACCUUGCUGGUGUCCUGUGCAUGUGUCAUAUGAUGAGAAACAAUAUAGUUUCUGGAGGAAUUUUUUUUAGUUUUGUUUUGUGAGCUCUUCAGAAGUUACACAUUACCAAAGAAAAAAUAAAGUACUGUUUACAAUAACA
rnacentral:lncRNA from 1 species